CUGCAUGGCUGUCGUCAGCUCGUGUCGUGAGAUGUUGGGUUAAGUCCCGCAACGAGCGCAACCCUCGCCUUUAGUUACCAUCAUUCAGUUGGGGACUCUAAAGGAACCGCCGGUGAUAAGCCGGAGGAAGGUGGGGAUGACGUCAAGUCCUCAUGGCCCUUACGCGCUGGGCUACACACGUGCUACAAUGGCGGUGACAGUGGGCAGCAAUCCCGCGAGGGUGAGCUAAUCUCCAAAAGCCGUCUCAGUUCGGAUCGUUCUCUGCAACUCGAGAGCGUGAAGGCGGAAUCGCUAGUAAUCGCGGAUCAGCAUGCCGCGGUGAAUACGUU
rnacentral:rRNA from 1 species